rnacentral:tRNA from 1 species
GAAACGAUGUAUUUUAAAGUGAAGGAUUGUGUGCUCUGCAAGCAUGAGGUGAGCGUUUUGGCUCUGUCGUUG